rnacentral:rRNA from 1 species
UACGUAGGGGGCUAGCGUUGUCCGGAAUCAUUGGGCGUAAAGCGCGUGUAGGCGGUUCGGUAAGUCCGCUGUGAAAGUCGGGGGCUCAACCCUCGAAUGCCGGUGGAUACUGUCGGGCUAGAGUGCGGAAGAGGCGAGUGGAAUUCCUGGUGUAGCGGUGAAAUGCGCAGAUAUCAGGAGGAACACCAAUUGCGAAGGCAGCUCGCUGGGACGUUACUGACGCUGAGGAGCGAAAGCGUGGGGAGCGAACAGG